GAUGAACGCUGGCGGCGUGCCUAAUACAUGCAAGUCGAGCGAACAGAUAAGGAGCUUGCUCCUUUGACGUUAGCGGCGGACGGGUGAGUAACACGUGGGUAACCUACCUAUAAGACUGGAAUAACUCCGGGAAACCGGGGCUAAUGCAGGAUAACAUGUUGAACCGCAUGGUUCUACAGUGAAAGGCGGCUUUGCUGUCACUUAUAGAUGGACCCGCGCCGUAUUAGCUAGUUGGUGAGGUAACGGCUCACCAAGGCAACGAUACGUAGCCGACCUGAGAGGGUGUUCGGCCACACUGGAACUGAGACACGGUCCAGACUCCUACGGGAGGCAGCAGUAGGGAAUCUUGCGCAAUGGGCGAAAGCCUGACGGAGCAACGCCGCGUGAGUGAUGAAGGUCUUCGGAUCGUAAAACUCUGUUAUUAGGGAAGAACAAAUGCGUAAGUAACUGUGCGCGUCUUGACGGUACCUAAUCAGAAAGCCACGGCUAACUACGU
rnacentral:rRNA from 1 species